UCAGGUGGCCGCAGAGAAUAGGCCCAAGCGACUGUUUACCAAAAACAUAGGUUUCUGCUAAGUCGCAAGACGAUGUAUAGGAGCUGACGCCUGCCCGGUGCUGGAAGGUUAAGGGGAUCUGUUAGAGUAAUCGAAGCAGUGAACUUAAGCCCCAGUAAACGGCGGCCGUAACUAUAACGGUCCUAAGGUAGCGAAAUUCCUUGUCGGGUAAGUUCCGACCCGCACGAAAGGCGUAACGAUUUGGGCACUGUCUCAACAACAGACUCGGUGAAAUUGUAAUUCCGGUGAAGAUGCCGGAUACCUGCGACAGGACGGAAAGACCCCAUGGAGCUUUACUGUAGCUUGACAUUGGGUCUUGGUACUACAUGUACAGGAUAGGUGGGAGGCUUUGAAACCAGGACGCCAGUUUUGGCGGAGCCAUCCUUGGGAUACCACCCUUGUAGUACUGGGACUCUAACCAUAGGCCAUGAAUCUGGUCUUGGGACACUGUCAGGUGGGCAG
rnacentral:rRNA from 1 species